rnacentral:rRNA from 1 species
AACGAACGCUGGCGGCAGGCCUAACACAUGCAAGUCGAGCGCCCUCUUCGGAGGGAGCGGCGGACGGGUUAGUAACGCGUGGGAACGUGCCUCUCUCUUGGGAAUAGCCAUUGGAAACGAUGAUUAAUACCCCAUAUGACCACAGUAUCGCAUGAUACAGCGGUGAAAACUCCGGUGGUAUAGGAUGGUCUCGCGUCUGAUUAGCUAGUUGGUGGGGUAACGGCCUACCAAGGCGACGAUCAGUAGCCGGCCUGAGAGGGUGACCGGCCACACUGGAACUGAGACACGGUCCAGACUCCUACGGAGGCAGCAGUGGGGAAUAUUGCACAAUGGGCGAAAGCCUGAUGCAGCGACGCCGCGUGAACGAUGAAGGCUUUCGAGUCGUAAAGUUCUGUUCUUGGGGAAGAUAACGACGGUACCCAAGGAGAAAGCACCGGCUAAAUACGUGCCAGCAGCCGCGGUAAU